UAGAUUUGAAGAGAGUUGGGAAGAACAGAUGAAUAUAUCAGAACUAAACAAAGAGGGAGUGAUUGGGGUAGAUAUGGAAGAGAGUUUGGAAUAGCAGACGAAUAGAUCAAAACUAGAACAAAGAGGAACACACGCCACCGUUUGGGCUAAGCCCACUCCAAGCCCGAAUAGAACUUGUUGGGCUGCUUGGCCCGCUUACUCUUUCGCACUGGCUGCUCUGCUUCAUGUAGAACAUGUGGUUCACUGCUGAAUGCUGAUCAGCAGGGGCGGAGCCAGGAUAUGCUCAAAGGGGGUGCUGAUACUCUUAAAACUUAAGCUAACCUCAUGUUUUAUAUGCAAAUUUGAAGACAAAGACUAAUAUUACAUGCAAGUGCAUGGCCUGCAGGGGGUGCUGCAGCACCCCCAGCACCCCCUGCUGAUCAGGAAUACUGGUGAUAACAACGUUUUCUGCAGGAUGCACCUCGAGAUCUUCGCGUCUCCAGAUCAGUGCCUAGAAAUCAAAUCAUGCAUCUGGCUUCAGAGACUAGUG
rnacentral:lncRNA from 1 species